rnacentral:lncRNA from 1 species
UAAACAUUAGGCUGAUAUUUCUGGCUCCUUCCCCUAAGCACUGUGCAUUCCUAGUGGUUUAGUCCAGCUUUUUCAAGGACAGGAGCACAAAGGGAGCACACAGGGACCUUCAGAAUCCUGAGAAGAAGAGGAAAUCUGUAUGUUCACUGUUGUCAGGUGUCCUCCAGAGUUUGGGCAGUGAGAUUGGAUAUUUGCAGUUCCACACAACAGAAAUCUGUCUUUUAAGUAAGGUGAGAAAAAUUAAGUUUCCUAAUGUUUAAGUUCGGUAGGAGUAACCUUUACUUUUGAAAAUCUGUUACCUCUUUAUUUUUGUGCAUUAAGCACCACAGAGAGCCAAAUAAGAUUAGAGACAAUUAUAUAAGAGACGGCCUUUGUCUCUAUUCCAUCUUUUCACAUGACACUCUUUCCACUUUUACCU